rnacentral:misc_RNA from 1 species
GGGCAAACAACCUCUCAAGAAGAACCCUAGCCGGUUCAGUUUCUUCUUCGCCGGUGAUAUUUGAUUUCCUGUUAUCCAAGACAGACCUGACAAUUCUCGAGGAAGGACCCCGCCCAUGAUAAGCUGUCAUAAGCAUUAAUCUCUUCUUCCAUUCGAGCCUCAUAAAACAGCACUCCUUUGGCUGCCAAAGAAAAGAAAACGAUAAAGUGGCGCGCGGUAAGGCUCGCAACGCCAUACUUCACCUCAACAGAAC